ensembl:lncRNA
GCGGGUUAACAGCACCCAAGGCCGUUGGAGGCUCGCUCGCUGUUCUUCCUUUCGCGUCUGCGGCGCUCUCUCUUCUUUGUGGUGUGCUGUCUGUUCCUCAUCCGAUGUCGUCUCAACCCUGGAAUCAGAAUUUGCUACUGUACGUGAUUUGCGUGAUCAGACGCUACAGAAUGAAUCUUGGCGGAGGGGUCCCUGCCGGGGCUCCAAGGGAACCACGUGUCGACAGGCAGAACCUUCAGCUUCCUGACGUCUGGAGCUCACUGUUGGCAGCAAACAGGCAUUGAAUGGACCGUGAUGGAUCCAGGACUGGGAGAGAAUUUGACCAGAGCCCUGUGUACAUCAGGGCCUACAUAGGUUGAUGGCUGCCUGAUUUCAGUUUGGUUCAGUUCUGUAAUAGGAAUUUCAGCUGUGGAGUCAGAAUGCAAGGCCUCUUGAGAAAGAUGUACAUUUACUUCUGAGAAAGCAUGAAGAUUUAGGUUGUUGUUUAACCUGAGUGUCCAGAGGUAAAAAUCUUGUGGCUGUUGUGAAAAAUGUAGUGUUAUAUUAAGUUUUGGUUAUUAAGGUUUUAACUUUGUAGCCUUCCUGUCUGGAGAAAUAAAAUCCUUUAAAUGAAAAUGCUGUUCUCUUGAGUCAUUAGACCUUGAACCAAAUGAUACUGAGUUAAAAGGUGGAUCCCACACUCUACAUGACUUGUUGACAUCCUCUGAUAGUUCCCUUCCUCUCUUAACCUCCUAACCUUGAUGAAACAAGCUAGCAAAAAUUAAGAGACCUCGA